GGAUAAAUGACUGAGUGGUCGAAGGUGCUAGUCUUGAAAACUAUUCUAUUUGUGAAAAUAGCGUGAGUUCGAAUCUCACUUUAUCCU
rnacentral:tRNA from 1 species